rnacentral:rRNA from 1 species
UACGUAGGGUGCAAGCGUUGUCCGGAAUUAUUGGGCGUAAAGAGCUCGUAGGCGGUCUGUCGCGUCUGCUGUGAAAACUCAGGGCUUAACCCUGAGCUUGCAGUGGUACGGGCAGACUAGAGUGCGGUAGGGGAGACUGGAAUUCCUGGUGUAGCGGUGAAAUGCGCAGAUAUCAGGAGGAACACCGGUGGCGAAGGCGGGUCUCUGGGCCGUAACUGACGCUGAGGAGCGAAAGCAUGGGGAGCGAACAGG